AGAGCAGCUGGUCCAGCACCGGGCACGCCUCCUUCUUGCCCCGCUUCUCGAAGUCUGCAGCGCGGCCGGGAGGGGACAGAAACAGACGCCAGGUGUUGUCUCAACAGUCUUAUCACGUGGUGGGAGGCAACAAGCCUGAUGUCGCGGGAGGAGAGGGGUCACCUAUGCUGCCAGCUAAAAGGAUUUUCUGUUGGCAUGUCUUCCCUUAUAAAACUGUGCAUCAUCAUGAGUGAUAAGAGUGGUCGUGCCAAUGCUGCAGUCUGUUUGAACUGCUGUACUCUAAGAAACAGCUCAUGCCCAUACCACUUAUCAGCCAUGUAUGAUAAUUAUAAGGGUCUAGAAAACCAUUGGCAUGACAUAUAUUUUAUAUGCAAUCUAUAGUGAUUUUCUCUUUCAUUUCAGAAAAGCUUUCCUGGGCUCUUCACAUACUAGAUACAAAGCAAAUAGCUUCAGGUGACCAUAGAACAUUUUUGCUGCACGUGACUCCCAAGGCUUUCAUUUAG